UGUGUCCUCUAUUAAAAAAAUAAGUAUAGAUAAGAAAUAGGGAUAUAGAGUCGUUUGAACGUUGUCUUUCUAACAAUUGAGAACCCGCGUUUUUCAUUAGUAUGAAGUUGCCGAUGUAAUUUUUUUUUCCCGUAUACUAUACGCAUGCACGAGAAAGUUUUAAAAAUGUUUGCAGUAAGCGUAGCCGGCAAUUUGAAUGACCGUUAUAAAAUUAUUCAUGCACGAUGUUAAGGUAUCGGGAUGUUGUAUUAAAAGCUACUGCACUUAUGUAAUGAAAGUAAGUUACAAGACGAAAUCCGAUUGCAAGGGAUAAUCUAUUUAUCGUGGUUUCAAAAGAAAACUGACAGACUCGGUCAACUUUGGUCAACAUUUUUAAAUGGAAGGUAUGACAGUCGAGAUGCCAGGCCUUCAAUCAGAUGAAUCUGGCCAAACAAAUAAUUCAGUGGACAGUUUGGCAAAUUGUAUUAAUCAAUUGGAUGAUAUGGAACACGAAUCUCGUAUAUUGACUGGGGUAGAACGUACUCCGCAGCAUACAUCGCUUAGUAAAAAAAUUGAUAAUUCUAUUUUCAACACCAUCUCGAAAAUCGUCAAUCCUGCUACAAAGGUGCCAGAGAUUCAGGACUUUAAGAUUGUGAAACCAAUAAGCAGAGGAGCUUUUGGCAAGGUCUUCCUAGGAUACAAGAAGACCAAUCCUGAGCAGGUUUAUGCUAUUAAAGUGAUGAAAAAGAAUGAAAUGAUAAAUAAAAAUAUGGCUUCACAAGUAGUGAUCGAAAGAAAUGCCUUGGCUCUUACUCGAAGUGCUUACUGUGUACAAUUGUUCUACUCUUUGCAAUCAGUUAGCAGUGUUUACUUAGUAAUGGAAUACAUGGUCGGUGGUGAUCUGAAAAGUCUAGUUGGAAUGUAUGGUUACAUGGAAGAGUCUAUGGCAGCUUUUUACACAGCUGAAGUGUCUUUAGCAUUACAGUAUCUUCAUUCCCAUGGCAUAGUACACAGAGAUCUAAAGCCAGACAAUAUGCUUCUUUCGCGAGAGGGACAUGUAAAGCUCACAGAUUUUGGCCUUAGCAGGAUAUCUACGUUACACCGAGAUUUGGAAAUAUCUGAUCUAGUGAACUGUACACCGAGUCUAUGUGCGAGAACUCCAGGUCAGCUUCUAUCUCUGACAUCACAUCUAUCUUUUGGGUCUGGUCAAAAGUCCUCAUCGGAAUUGAAUCUUCUGGAUUGCAGUGAUGUAAGCAACCCUGCUGCAAAUUUACUCUCAGCGCUAAGAGAAAAUUCCAAAAAGAUAAGCAGUUCCUCAAGUUCAAUUGUGUCAUCUGUUGCAACAUCAGCUGAUUAUUCGAGAGUAUCGGGUGUGACACCAUUCCAAUCGGCGGAGGAUCUACGAAUGUGUGCCUUCUCGGAGGAUGAAUGUUACUCAAAAAAAAGUAACCCUGAAGAAGAUUAUAGCAGUUCCAGUAGUUUUCAUACAUGCGAAACUUCAUCUCUCUCUCAGUCCAGUAAGAGUACAGAAAAAUUGAUUGUGACUAGUCAGACGGUGAAUGGUGAGAAAGGUGAGGAGGAGGAUGAAUCCACAUUAGAGGCAGAAAAUUCUCAUCAUCCACUUCCUCAUACGAGUCCUUUGAGCAGCUGCGUUAAUUCUUACUCAAGAGGAACCAAGAGAAAACGCGCAGCCAUGGCAGCCUCGACUGGAUUAACGCGUGAGAUACAUCUUAUGGAAUUAGACGGUGACCUUACACCAAAAAGGAAAAAUCGUGGACCAGCGAUAUUUUCUUGCAGAAGUCCGGUACCAUCAACGGAUAAUCCAGUCACGACCAAAACGGAGAUUACUGAAAAUAACGUUACAUCUCAAGAAGGUGGUUCCGGUGUCGGAGUUGCGUUUAGUACACCUGUAUCGUCUAUGAAGCGACGAAAUCGAAAAGAGGAAAAUCAGAAACAUCAACAACAUCAUGAAAAACCACUCUUAAUUAAAGCAACCAGAUUUGAAUUACCACCACCUUGUACUUCACACUCAGCACCUGAUCUACAUCCGCAUAAUAUCACUGGAGGACGUAAUUCACCUCAAGGCAUUUCUCCUAUAAAGACUCCUGCCACUUCUGACAACCACAGCUAUACUCCCUACAGAACUCCAAAGUCAGUGCGAAGAGGGGCCCAAGGAGGUAUGCUUCGGUCAGACGAUAGAAUCCUGGGCACUCCAGAUUACCUUGCUCCGGAGUUGCUGCUUCGCCAGGGUCAUGGUCCGGCGGUUGAUUGGUGGGCUCUUGGCGUCUGCCUCUUUGAAUUUUGCACUGGAGUUCCACCAUUUAAUGACGAAACGCCGCAGGCGGUGUUCGCGAAUAUAUUAGCAAGAGACGUUCCCUGGCCAGAAGGUGAUGAAGCGCUUUCAAAAUCUGCCAACGAGGCCAUUGAUGCUCUCCUGACCUUAGACCCAUCUGCACGACCUUCAGCAAAUCAAGUGCGCCAUAUGGCACUUUUUAAUGGUUUUCCCUGGGACGAACCACAAAAAGCAAUACCACCUUUUAUCCCACAACCAGACGACAAUUUUGAUACAUGUUACUUUCAAGCACGAAACAUAAUGCAGCAUCUAAACGUGAGCAACUGUGAUACAUAGUCCUGGCUUAACCGUGAGUCAAUGUGAUGAGCUCGUAGCAGCGACGGCGACUGGGGACAGCCAUAGUAAAAAGAGACUAAGAUCAUCUAUAACCCAGGACUUACUGAGCGACACAAUGAGCCGCCGAAAGGAUGUGUAUGUUGUCGAUAAGAGAUCCACCGCAGAACUGUCGUCCAGCAUUGAAGAGCGCCGCGAUCCAUGGCCAUUC